AUUGAACGCUGGCGGCAGGCCUAACACAUGCAAGUCGAGCGGAUGAAGGGAGCUUGCUCCUGGAUUCAGCGGCGGACGGGUGAGUAAUGCCUAGGAAUCUGCCUGGUAGUGGGGGAUAACGUCCGGAAACGGGCGCUAAUACCGCAUACGUCCUGAGGGAGAAAGUGGGGGAUCUUCGGACCUCCCGCUAUCAGAUGAGCCUAGGUCGGAUUAGCUAGUUGGUGGGGUAAAGGCCUACCAAGGCGACGAUCCGUAACUGGUCUGAGAGGAUGAUCAGUCACAAUGGAACUGAGACACGGUCCAGACUCCUACGGGAGGCAGCAGUGGGGAAUAGUGGACAAUGGGCGAAAGCCUGAUCCAGCCAUGCCGCGUGUGAAGAAGGUCUUCGGAUUGUAAAGCACUUUAAGUUGGGAGGAAGGGCAGUAAGUUAAUACCUUGCUGUUUUGACGUUACCAACAGAAUAAGCACCGGCUAACUUCGUG
rnacentral:rRNA from 1 species